rnacentral:lncRNA from 12 species
GUUCUGAACGUUAAGACAAAGAGUACAUGACAACUUUUCAAUGAGAAGCUGAGUGGAAUUGAAAUUGCUGAGAUUAAUAUUGCUAGGAACAUAAAAACCAAGUUUUUGUAGUUGUAUCUCUACUGAAGAUGCUGUAUAUAUGUCUUGCUCCAGCUACUGUGAAGGUUGACAGAUAAUAACUCACAGCUAUUCCAUUCUCUAGAGAAUCUCCCUGGACUGUUACACUGGGAGUCUGUGUUACCCUACAAUUCUUUUGAAGGCGAUGAGCUGAUCCUGGUUGGGAACUGACAAGCUUGGCUAUUAUAAGAGUCCCAUAACACUCUUGCCUGAAAUUUGAACUAAUACUGUGAUAUUUAGUUUCAGAGCUUCCCAUGGGAUAAACCUCAAACUUGUCUCCAGCUAGGGCUAUAUUCUUGCUAGACUGCUUUCCCUGCCUAGUCUUGAUACCUUGAAUCUACUUUUCCUGAGAUCCAUCUCUGAUUAAACACAAGGGAAUCUAUGAAAGACAGUUACUUUUAAGGCCUUCGAUGGACCCAUACCUUCAUUAGUUAUGUCUUCCUACGUUUACUUUAAGUUUGGCCUAUUGUCUAGCUUUGGCUGAUAUAAACCAUAAUGCAAAGAGAAGUUUGAAAAGCCUUCAUGCAAUGGAAUGUGUCUUCUUUGAAUGCUUCUUUUUAGAACCCAGUUGCCCUCUGCAAGAAGCCCAAACCACAUGGAGAAGUCAAGCGGAAGAGAAAUGAGUCAUCUUCAAAAGCUUCCCAGAGCUUGUGGUAGCCAGCUAGUACCAACUGCCACCAGGUGCAGGAGCCACCUUGGAUUUCAAGUUAUCAGGCUGUGAAUGGAGAAAAAAGAUCGACUGAAUGUUGUGAAAAAAUUGAUUUGUGGAGUCUCAUGAGAGAAGAGGUUGCUGCACAGAGGAUCUCGUCGGAAAAAAAUAUAGUAGGAAGAAUUUUGAAAUUAAAAGCUAACACUCCUGGUGUAAAAAGAAAAAAAGUUUACUCCAACAAUAAAAAACUUUUGAGCAUUCUACUCCCAUCACUUUUAAGAGCUCGUGAUUCAAUAAAUACUAAGUAGCUAGAACUUGGACAGAAUCCUCAGAAGUAACGGUCUUCUUUAAUAACCUCGGUGAUGAUGCACAGAUGACUAAUGGAAACAGCUACUUCCACAUCUCCAGAGAUCUAAAUGUGAACCUGGCUGAGUAGUUGGACAAAUAAAUCUGGAAUAGCAAAAAAAAAAAAAAAAAAA